UAUAUUUUAUAUUGUUCUAGGCCUCUAAGAGGAAAUCUCGAUUAAAUACCGCAAAGAAGGACGAAGAGAAGGCAAGAGUUGCAGAGGUUGAAGGAUUGGUAGAUAUGCUAGGAAAAGAUGCUGCUACGGCUUCUAUUAUCGGACUGGGGAAUACAAACUUUCUGAAAGCUUUAUCACCCAUAGAAACCACAUCAAGAACUCCAAAAUCCCCUGCAAUGACGAAAACCAAUCCUAAAUGAAGACGAUAAUCAAUGUAAAACACUUUAGUAUUAUUACUAUAUCUCUCUCUGUGUGUUUUCUGAUGUAAUAAAUAUUUGAAAUGUA